rnacentral:rRNA from 1 species
UAAAGAAAGCGUAAUAGCUCACUGGUCGAGUCGGCCUGCGCGGAAGAUGUAACGGGGCUAAACCAUGCACCGAAGCUGCGGCACCAACACUGUAUGUUAUUGUGUACGAGAGCGUUCAGAAAGGCUGCGAAGGUGGCCUGUGAGGAGUGAUGUAGGUAUCAGAAGGUCGAAAGCUGCGGCAGCGACGCUGAUGCGUUGUUGGGUAGGGGAGCGUUCUGUAAG